AGACCGAUAGCGAACAAGUACAGUGAUGGAAAGAUGAAAAGAACUUUGAAAAGAGAGUGAAAAAGUACGUGAAAUUGUUGAAAGGGAAGGGCUUGAAGUCAGACAUGGUAUUCAGUGAUCAACUGUCUUUCGGGACUGUGCACUCGCUGUUUACUGGGCCAGCAUCGGUUUAGGCGGUGAGAUAAAUGCAAAAGAAUGUGGCUCUGCUUUCGGGUGGAGUGUUAUAGCUUUUGUUCAUAUCACCAGCUUGGACCGAGGACCGCGCUUCGGCUAGGAUGCUGGCGUAAUGACUUUAAGCCACCCGUCUUGAAACACGGACCAAG
rnacentral:rRNA from 1 species